CGGCCUCCGCGCGGAGGAUGGGGUGAAAAGGGAAUCAGGUGCGAAUCCUGAGCAGACACCGCUGCUGUAAGUUCCGCCAAAGUCUUUGACAGUCAAGCCACUGCCCUUCGGGCGGGAAGGCGUCAAAGCGGGAACGAGCCAGAAGACCUGCCGAGAUCG
rnacentral:ncRNA from 1 species